rnacentral:rRNA from 1 species
AUUGAACGCUGGCGGCAGGCCUAACACAUGCAAGUCGAGCGGAUGAAGGGAGCUUGCUCCUGGAUUCAGCGGCGGACGGGUGAGUAAUGCCUAGGAAUCUGCCUGGUAGUGGGGGCUAACGUCCGGAAACGGGCGCUAAUACCGCAUACGUCCUGAGGGAGAAAGUGGGGGAUCUUCGGACCUCACGCUAUCAGAUGAGCCUAGGUCGGAUUAGCUAGUUGGUGGGGUAAAGGCCUACCAAGGCGACGAUCCGUAACUGGUCUGAGAGGAUGAUCAGUCACACUGGAACUGAGACACGGUCCAGACUCCUACGGGAGGCAGCAGUGGGGAAUAUUGGACAAUGGGCGAAAGCCUGAUCCAGCCAUGCCGCGUGUGUGAAGAAGGUCUUCGGAUUGUAAAGCACUUUAAGUAGGGAGGAAGGGCAGUAAGUUAAUACCUUGCUGUUUUGACGUUACCAACAGAAUAAGCACCGGCUAACUUCGUG